GGGCGCGUGGCCUAGCCAGGAUAGGGCGCUGGCCUUCUAAGCCAGAUGUCGCGGGUUCAAAUCCCGCCGCGUCCG
rnacentral:tRNA from 1 species